rnacentral:lncRNA from 1 species
CCCCAUGUACCACUGAGUUUUCUAAUGCAAUGUAUAUUCAUGUUCUCAUCUAGCUACAGUAAAUUGCCUUCUGACUUAAGAACUGCCAAAUGUCAGGGAUUAGUAAUUCAGUCACACAAUGAUUUGGGAAACAGUGUUCACGCUGUUCAUUAAGUUUGUUUAGUGGGGAGGUAAAUGCCUUAAUCUUGUCUUAGAAACUGAAAUAAACAGUGGUGCAAAUAAAAUGUCAUUCAGGAUGCAUAUAGUUGGAAGUAAGGGAAAUAACCUCUCUACAGCUGCAGAUGGUAAACUCUGUCUAGGUAAGUAUUUGGCCAGUCUCUUUCAGGUACUUACUCAUCUUCUCUAGUCCCUGGGGGAAGAGACAGCAAUUUGCAGCCCUGUUGUUAGCAGUUAAUGUUGGAAAAAUUACCCAAGGGAAACAACGUGACUAGCUCACAUGUUACGCAUCAAAUUUGAAAGGCAGUAUUUGUCUUCUUUUUUUAACAUGAGAAAACUGUAAAAUGAAGGAAAGCAUACCCUAGAGGUGGCAUGAGUGAAUGUCUUUUGACAACUGUACUUGUUCUAAGAGAUGGGUUUUUGCUUAAGCAGCUCUUCAAAGACUCUUCUCCUCUUUUAGGUGUCAAAAAAAUUCUUCAAUAAAUUCCAUAGAUACUUUUCUAAAUGAAGAUUUGUGGAGCACAUGAGAAGUGUCAGGCAUGGUGCAACGUGUGAGAGAUCCUGUUUCCCCAAAGCCUUGGAAUAAAACAUUAUCAAACUUUUGGAUCUUUCUAAUUUCAUCAGUGAAACAUGACAGGGUCGCCCAGGCUGGAGCGUAGUGGCUCGAACACAGCUCACUUGAAGCUUCAACCUCCCGGGCUCAAGUGAUCCUCCCACCUGUCUCCUGAGUAGCUGCAACUACAGGCAUGUGCCAAGACGUCUGGCUAAUUUUUAAAUUUUUUGUAGGGAUGGGGUCUUGCUGUGUUGCCCAGACUGGUCUCAAACUCCUGGGCUCAAGUGAUCCCCCAACCCUUGGCCUCCCAAAGUGCUAAGAUUACAGUUGUGAGCCACUGUGCCUGGCCUUAAGUCUUCUUUUAGUCAUUCACUGCUGUUUGGGAUUUUUUUCACAUAGAUAUUUUACUUUCUUCUUUUAUUUGAUGUUUAUUAUCUAAAGAUAAUAAUGGAUUUUGUAAGUUAUACCCUGUUGUUUUUAUGAAUGAUAUUGAUUUAUAUAUGGGAAUUUUGCAUCCACGAACUUACAACAGUUUUUCCUUGUUUCUAAUUCUUUUAAAAUAGACUCUAUUGCAUUUCAAGGAAUUCAUCAAAUUAUCUGCAAAUGGUCAUGGUCAGAACUCCUCACUAAUUUUUACCUCCAAUUUAAAAAUUACUGGUUUCCUAUCUAAUUGCGCUGACCAGUGCCUCCAGAUCAGCACUAAAUGAUAGUAGUGAUAGUGGACAUCCAUGCCUGGUGUAAAUAAAUGAGUCCGUGAAGGCAAAGAUGCUAUUAUGGGAAAGACUGAUGAUGAGACUAUCUUCUUCUAAAUACAAAAUGAGUUUUCAAUGCUCUAACAACAUGAAGCAUCCUUAAAGACUAAACUAUGGCAAGGAUAUUUAAUUUACUUCCAUAUUUUUUUAUUAGUAAAAUGCAUUUACUUUUUACAGGCAAGUAUGAACCACUUUGAGGUUUUCUUCCCACUCCCAAUUCUCAAUUCCUAUGGGUGCGGUAUCAUCUAAGAGAAUAAGCAUUCUUGAAUAUUCUGGACAUGUGGCAUGGCCUUCUGUACCAACUCUUCUAGAUGUGCUUGCCUGGUGUGCCAUGGACCCUGAAUCGAUAUAAACAAGUAUACUUCGGGUGUCCCCAGUUGCUAAAGAUAUUAAGUUUCACACAUAAUAAAUAUUCAGAAA